AAGGCCUUAAGUUAAACUAAACUAAUAACCUUCAAAGCUAUAAAUAAAGGAUGCUUGACCCUUUAGGCCUUG
rnacentral:tRNA from 2 species